rnacentral:lncRNA from 1 species
UUUUAAUCAGUUUUAUAUAAUAGGUAUAUUUUUGUUCAAACUUCAAAUUAUUUUUUUUUCUCUGGAUAGAGUAUGCAUUAUCUUUUUUCCUUUCGUUCUUUGUUAUCCCAGAACAUGGAAGAUUAAGGAGAAGAUCACUACAAUUGGUGAAACAAUAACUCCUUCCCCUGAGGAGAUAGAUUCAAUUGCAAAAUAAAGUGUUCAAGAACAGAGCAAGAGUCUAGCAACCUAUGUUGUGGAAGAAGCAGCUAAAGUUAAACAUGUUACCGUGAAAACAGGAAAAGUUGGAACAGAAUAUGCAGGGAAAGUAACUGAAAUAUUGAAGCAAAGGCAAUAGUUCCUGGCUUGGGAGCUGCACAAGUAUAACACCAUGUGCGAGACGUAUCAUUUUAUGCAAAAGUUAAUG